rnacentral:rRNA from 1 species
GACGAACGCUGGCGGCGUGCUUAACACAUGCAAGUCGAACGGAAAGGCCCUGCUUUUGUGGGGUGCCCGAGUGGCGAACGGGUGAGUAACACGUGAGUAACCUGCCCUUGACUUUGGGAUAACUUCAGGAAACUGGGGCUAAUACCGGAUAGGAGCUCCUGCUGCAUGGUGGGGGUUGGAAAGUUUCGGCGGUUGGGGAUGGACUCGCGGCUUAUCAGCUUGUUGGUGGGGUAGUGGCUUACCAAGGCUUUGACGGGUAGCCGGCCUGAGAGGGUGACCGACCACAUUGGGACUGAGAUACGGCCCAGACUCCUACGGGAGGCAGCAGUGGGGAAUAUUGCACAAUGGGCGGAAGCCUGAUGCAGCAACGCCGCGUGCGGGAUGACGGCCUUCGGGUUGUAAACCGCUUUCGCCUGUGACGAAGCGUGAGUGACGGUAAUGGGUAAAGAAGCACCGGCUAACUACGUG